rnacentral:tRNA from 1 species
GCGGCCGUAGUCUAGCCUGGAACGCGCGCACGCGCCCAGUGAGGACGCCGGCCUGCCACGCCGGAGAUCCCGGGUUCGAAUCCCGGCGGCCGCACCA